rnacentral:misc_RNA from 1 species
GAUGAAGAACGCAGCGAAAUGCGAUAAGUAAUGUGAAUUGCAGAAUUCAGUGAAUCAUCGAAUCUUUGAACGCACAUUGCGCCCGCCAGUAUUCUGGCGGGCAUGCCUGUUCGAGCGUCAUUUCAACCAUCAAGCCCCAGGCUUGUGUUGGGGACCUGCGGCUGCCGCAGGCCCUGAAAACCAGUGGCGGGCUCGCUGUCACACCGGGCGUAGUAGAUUUUAUCUCGCUCAGGGCGUGCUGCGGGUUCCGGCCGUUAAAAAGCCUUUUUUACCCAAGGUUGACCUCGGAUCAGGUAGGAAGACCCGCUGAACUUAAGCAUAUGAAUAAGCGGAGGA